rnacentral:lncRNA from 13 species
UGAGUAUAUAAACUAUAAAUACAUAAUAAUUUUUCUAUUACUGCCUAGAAGCAUUAUUUCUAGCUAUAUUAUAUCAAUCAGCCAAUAACAUGAAUAUGAAUACUGAUGGCAACACUACCUAAUGUUUAUGGUAUUACCAGGAGAAGGGACUAGAGGAUUUGUGAUUUAUCUGUUGCCUUGAUUUAGUGACUCAACUUUCUGUACAUUGAAAGUUGCCUUUAAUAAAAAAAAAAGUAUUUGACUUCUUAUUAUGAAGUCACAGUGGAUGUGAUGUAUGAGAUACAGAUCUUUUAACAGUAGAAUCUUUGUUCAUUUAUGUACUCACUUGGUCACUCACUGAUGACAACUAAUUGUCCUCAGAGCUGUGGCUUGGCAUUGGAAGAACCAUGAUGAACAGACAGAGACUGCCCUCAUAAAACUUACAGGCUCAUGUCAGAACAGACAUUAAGCUAAAUAUUCAGACAAAUAAGUGCAAAAUUGCAACUGCUUUCUGGAGGCUGGAAAGUCUAUGAUCAAGGCACAAGCAGAUUUGGCGUCUGAUGAGGGCUGAUUUCCUGGUUUAUCGAUCAUGCCAUCUCAUUGUGUGGUCACAUGGUGGAAGAGGGAAGGCGGAUGUCCGGGGUCUAUUUUAAUGGCAAAUGGACCUCCCUGGAGUGGCUGGGGCAUUCAAAGUCUCUAUCCUGGUCUGCUGGAGACCUUGGCAUUUUACUUCCCGGACAUAACUUUAUUCUGCUGGAGCAAUGCUCACAUUGCUCUGGAAACACUGGAAAAUCUCAAGAUGCAGGUCAGUCUGCUCCAUGGAUGAGUAUGAGGCCCCAAGCCAUCUCUCAAACUAAAGAUUCCCCAGCCAGAUAAUGCUGAAGAGUCUUCAACAAGGCAAUAUGAUUACUCUGUGUGCUUAGAAGAAGAGGGAUUAUAAAUGUCAGCUGUUGCUCUUUGACUCCUGCUGAUUGAUUCAUUGAUUCAUCUUUCCAACAGGCGUGUGCUGCAAGUUGAUUAUACUGAAUGACACUGCGGAG